GUUGGGGUGUGUGUUUGCUGUUGAACUGGGUAUUUCCAGGAGACACAGCCAAUAAUUUCCUUGGUGUGCUCUGUGCAGGUCCUGGUUGGCUGGGAGGACCAUGGAAAAGCUGGAGUAACAACCGUGUAGAAGGCAAUGAAAAAGUUGUAAUUUCCUUGAUGCCUGGCUGUGGGGAAGGAAGAGAAAUUGGAGCAGGAGCUGGCAGGGCUGCGGCAGGUUGAACAUGCAGACCUGGAUUGCAGCAGUAACCCUCAGAGUGAUCCCGUGAGGAGCUUUCAGCACCCACCAGGAGUGGAAGAGGAGGGGACAGGAUCACCUUGGCCUCCAUCCCCUGUGCCCAGACCAAGGAGGAGCUCGCCUUUGUUUGCUGGACACGUCUCGGUUGUGAUCCCCACCCAGUUUUCAGGGCAGUGGGAGGACACUUCCAGGGCAGUGGCUCCCUGAGCACCCCCUAACAGUAAGGCUGCUUUGCUUUAUAUUAUUUAAGCAAUUAUAUGUAUUAAUUGUGCAAUUAUGCAUAUCAAUUGAGGAGGAUGUGGUGAAUCAUGACCUUGGUGUGGUUUGUUUGGAGGAAUUUCUGCUGUUUUCUGUUGAUAUAAUUUAAAUUGUAUCAACCCUUCCCUAAAUGCUGUGAGCAUUUCAGAGCAGAAACACUUAUUUUUUAAAAAUAAAUCAGUCUGUGCAGGGAGUCUUGUUUUAAAG
rnacentral:lncRNA from 1 species